GUUAAUUGAGAUUAACUUUUUUAAUUGCUCGACAGCCCUACUUAUAAGAUGACCACCACCUCUUCCUCCACUUCCAGGAUUUUGAAUAGGGUCUGAUCUAGUAGGUGUGCACCGAGGACACUUACCAGAUAAGGCCCUGCAGAGAAAAUAGGCAGGUGAACACCUAACUUCCCAGGUUGCUGGAUUGUGCUGGGGCUUAGGUGUCUGGAUGUCAGAGUGAAGUAGCAGCACUCAUGUGCCCGGAGGCAGAAAGGCUUUCAGCAGGGCAUUCAGUAAGAAACAGUUUUAAUAAGC